rnacentral:lncRNA from 1 species
GUUGCAGUUUGUUUUUGUGUUUGUCGGUACGCAAGAAAAGCAAGCAUAGAUUAGAGGUGAAGGACCGGCGCCCUGCUCGUGAUUGUAGUUGAAGUCUCGCAAACCCUCUGUAAGCAUUUACAACGUGCGCGUUAA